GGCGAACGCUGGCGGCGGGCUUAACACAUGCAAGUCGAACGGCAGGGCCCUGCGUGUGUGGGGUUCUCGAGUGGCGAACGGGUGCGUAACAGGUGAGUAACCUGCCCUUGACUUUGGGAUAACUUCAGGAAACUGGGGCUAAUACCGGAUAGGAGCUCCUGCUGCAUGGUGGGGGUUGGAAAGUUUAGGCGGUUGGGGAUGGACUCGCGGCUUAUCAGCUUGUUGGUGGGGUAGGGGCUUACCAAGGCUUUGACGGGUAGCCGGCCUGAGAGGGUGACCGGCCACAUUGGGCCUGCGAUACGGCCCAGACUCCUACGGGGGGCAGCAGUGGGGAAUAUUGCACAAUGGGCGGACGCCUGAUGCAGCAACGCCGCGUGCGGGAUGACGGCCUUCGGGUUGUAAACCGCUUUCGCCUGUGACGAAGCGUGAGUGACGGUAAUGGGUAAAGAAGCACCGGCUAACUACGUG
rnacentral:rRNA from 1 species